rnacentral:rRNA from 1 species
CCUACGGGUGGCAGCAGUGGGGAAUAUUGGUCAAUGGACGAGAGCCUGAUCCAGCCACGCAGCGUGAAGGAUGAAUGCCCUAUGGGUUGUAAACUUCUUUUAUAUGGGAAUAAAAUGUUCCACGUGUGGGAUUUUGUAUGUACCAUAUGAAUAAGGAACGGCUAACUCCGUGCCAGCAGCCGCGGUAAUACGGAGGGUCCGAGCGUUAUCCGGAUUUAUUGGGUUUAAAGGGAGCGUAGGUGGAUUGGUAAGUCAGUUGUGAAAGUUUGCGGCUCAACCGUAAAAUUGCAGUUGAAACUGGCAGUCUUGAGUACAGUAGAGGUGGGCGGAAUUCGUGGUGUAGCGGUGAAAUGCUUAGAUAUCACGAAGAACUCCGAUUGCGAAGGCAGCUCACUGGACUGCAACUGACGCUGAGGCUCGAAAGUGUGGGUAGCAAACAGGAUUAGAUACCCGGGUAGUC